rnacentral:rRNA from 1 species
GUACAGAGGAUGCAAGCGUUAUCCGGAAUGAUUGGGCGUAAAGCGUCUGUAGGUGGCUUUUUAAGUCCGCCGUCAAAUCCCAGGGCUCAACCCUGGACAGGCGGUGGAAACUACCAAGCUGGAGUACGGUAAGGGCAGAGGGAAUUUCCGGUGGAGCGGUGAAAUGCGUAGAGAUCGGAAAGAACACCAACGGCGAAAGCACUCUGCUGGCCGACACUGACACUGAGAGACGAAAGCUAGGGGAGCGAAUGGGUUAGAACUACCGUGUCAGUCCAAG